GCUAUUCCUGUUCGGAAAAAGAGCCAAAGCGAAAAAAAUCAGCCACUUUCAAACUCCAGCUUUUCAGGCAAGUUUCAAUAGAGGUCCAACACCAAUAUGCAUGAUGUAAUGAGAGAAAUUGCGAUUUCCGGGUGAUGGCUCCUUUAAGAACAGAAUAAGGGGGAGUUCUCAAAUGUAUACAUAACAUAAGGAGCACACAUGAAGAGCUUUUGCAGCUUUGUUGUUUUUUCAAUCAGGAAUUGUAUAAAUGCACUGCUUGGAUUCUUAUUUCAAAAACAUGCUGAUGCUGGAUGGAGAAAGAGACAUUAAUGACUGAGGACAUAAUUGGUCGAGCAGAAGAGAGCGGACUCUUUCAGCAUGUUAAUUACAUGAGGAUGAAGGGUGUUAUGAUCUUUCUGGUGUUGAUGCUGGUCGUCAUCAUGGUUGAUGCUGAGGAGAGUCGUCCUCAAAAUGAUGGUGUCCGCCUGCCGCCCCGGCGCAUAGCCAUACCUGGACUGUAUAUCAGAUUUGGAGCAUCUCAAGAUGAAGUGGCCAACGAUAAACUGAGGCGAUACUAUGAAAACUGAGUCUGUUCUUGAUUUUGAAGAUAUAGUUUGAGCUAUAUCUUUGUGCUUUGCAAAGCAAGAAAUAAUUGGAUGUGUAAACAUGAAGCUCUUGAGAUGUAGUGAUUUUAGUCACAGCUACAACUGAUAGUGAAAACUAUCCUGUUGAAUAAAGCUGCAUUCCAAAAGACCGUCUGUGUGUUGUGGUGUUAUUUAAGUGAACAUAUGUUUGUAAUUUUACUGGUGAUGAUGAUCAAGAACAUUGUUUUUCAUCAAUUCGGAGGUCAAUGUUUAUAUUAAGUAGAUCUAAAUAAUAAGUGUGUUGGUGUGAUCAGUUUAUUGAAUAAACUCUCUUCCUAUUAACUAAUAAAUCUAAAUGUUGAUGAUGUCAUUUGACAGAAAACUAUUUCAAAAAUGAAGCGAAAUAGGUGAGCAGGUGGUCGAGUGGUUAGAGCGCAUGCUACAUACGCAGCUGACCUCGGUUCGAUUCCGGCCAGAGGUCCUUUGCUGCAUGUCAUAUC
rnacentral:lncRNA from 1 species